rnacentral:rRNA from 1 species
ACGGGAGGCAGCAGUGGGGAAUAUUGCACAAUGGGCGAAAGCCUGAUGCAGCGACGCCGCGUGAAUGAAGAAGUAUUUCGGUAUGUAAGGUUCUAUCAGCAGGGAAGAUAAUGACGGUACCUGACUAAGAAGCACCGGCUAAAUACGUGCCAGCAGCCGCGGUAAUACGUAUGGUGCAAGCGUUAUCCGGAUUUACUGGGUGUAAAGGGAGCGCAGGCGGCCUAGCAAGUCUGAAGUGAAAUCCCGGGGCUCAACCCCGGAACUGCUUUGGAAACUGUUAGGCUAGAGUGUCGGAGGGGUAAGCGGAAUUCCUAGUGUAGCGGUGAAAUGCGUAGAUAUUAGGAGGAACACCAGUGGCGAAGGCGGCUUACUGGACGAUAACUGACGCUGAGGCUCGAAAGCGUGGGGAGCAAACAGGAUUAGAUACCCUGGUA